AUUCGUUACUAGGGGGGCCCCGAGCGUGGGCUGAGAUGAGAUCGCGAUGAAGAUCUUACACCCUUUGCACCUGAUCUGGAUCAUACCAGCGUAGGGAAGUAAUCGGCACUUUCG
rnacentral:ncRNA from 2 species